CUCAAAUGCAUAUUAUUAAAGUACUAAAAAAGUUUGGCUGCCGUGUGCUUCAUCAAUAACUUGAUAUCUUAGCAUAUUUUAAAAUGUAAAAUAUCAUCCAUUAUUUUUCCUUUUCUUCACAGAAAUUUAUUGAAGAAAAAGAGUUCCUAACUCAACUUGACAUUUCUUUUCAAAGAUGUGAAGAAAUGUAUAAGAAUUUGGGUAAAGUGAUUCAGUUACUUUUUUGAUGGAAUAACCACCACUUAAAAAUAAGAUUUCAUCUUUCUACUUUAAAGUUUUAGAGAUUAGUUUUAUAUGUAUAUUUUCCUUGGAAAGUUCUUGCUUGCUUGCUGAUGGAUUGAUGGAUUGAUUGACAACAGUAGUAAGGAUUGAACCCAGGGCCUUGGCCAUAAGCUGCAUCUCCAGCCCUUUAAAAAAAAAUUUUUUUUUUGAGACAGGGUCCUGCUGGGUUGCUAAGUUGCCUGAGUUGUGCUUGAACUUGCCACCCUGCCUUAACCUCUUAGAAUGCUGUGAUUACAAGGAUGCACCAGUAUGCCUAGCUAUGCUUUCAUUUUUGAUAUUGUCAGAAAACAUGUUUAUUUUGCUACUGUCCGUUAAUAUCCAAAUGCUUUUUUAACAGUAUUAAGAAAAAGCUGUUUGCUAACAUUACUUUCUUGUUUUGCUAAUGCUGUAGCUGGCAAAUGUGAAACUAUUAAUGAGCAAUACAUGAUCAUGGAACAGAAUAUUUGCGUAUGCAGAAAAAAUACAGAGAAUGUGAAAUCAACUCUGCAAAAGGUCCUGGCAUGUUGGACUACUUACUUGGCAAACCUUCGCUCACUAAAGGCUUGUUUUGAGGACACAAAGAAGGGAGAAGCUACAGAGGUUUCCUUUGAGACACUAUCCCAAUGGAACGCUGACCAUGCUACUUUAAAUGAAGUGGGACAUUUCUUAAUUGGAGUCAGCAAUGAUGAAGUGAGAUCAUCUAUUUCUAAAGAAUUGCGAAGACUGAAUAAAAGAUGGAGAAAGUUUAUUACUAAAACUCCACUUGAAAUGAAACUACCACUUACAAAAAAACAGGAUCAGCCCAUUCCUGAAGAUUCUGGAAAUACUCUACUAUCUAAAGAAGAAAAACCAACUGUUGAUUUUUCAAUGGAUUCGUCAGUAGAAUUUCCUGAAAAUCACAAUCAAAAUUUAAAGGUAAAAUAGUUACAGUUUGUAGGAAUAAUUUACCUUUGCUGCUUUGCCUUUUAAAACACCAUAUUGUUGAAAUAGCGGUAAGUGUGUGGAAUAUUAGAUAACAGUUACAAUACGAACAUUUUCCAGGAAACGUAUGGGUGGUUCCCUUCCUGGGGCAGCCACUUGCCGGAAAGUGCUGUGCACCUCCUCCCACGUGGAGGGCCCCCCCCAGCAGAAGUGGGUGGGGCUUCCGAGUGGUGUCAAUUGAGUGGAUAUUUUUUUAGAUGGCUUCUGAUAGUUCUCAGAAAUAGGCUAACUUUAGGUUAGCUCCUGAACUCUUUGUGUCUUGCUUUCUUUUUCUAAAAUGGGGACAAAUAUUCAUUGUGCUUUUUUUUUAAUUUGGAAGACUUUAGAUUAUAGAUAUGAAUGUGGAAAAGGAAAAAAACCCAUACAUACAUAAGAUAUAAUACCCAUGGUUCUGAACUGUGCUUCCUACAGAACACCAACUUACCCAGUUUUCCUUAAGCAAGUAAUUUCAGCUGGCUUUGGCUAGUUGCCACAAUGGUGCUGCACUUCCGAACCAUGAGAAUGCCUGGUCAGGGCUGGGGUUUAGGUCGGGGGUACUGUGCUUGCCUAGUGUUUGGGGAGCCCAGGGUUCAAUACCCAGCACUACAACAAACAAGCAAGCAAGCAAAAAAAACAACAGAAAAGAAUGCCUAAUACGGAAAAUCUAGAAAGAUCUGAAUUUAUG
rnacentral:lncRNA from 1 species